UCGGGAUAGCUCANCUGGUAGAGCA
rnacentral:tRNA from 1 species